GAUGAACGCUGGCGGCGUGCCUAAUACAUGCAAGUCGAGCGAACAGACUAGGAGCUUGCUCCUCUGACGUUAGCGGCGGACGGGUGAGUAACACGUGGAUAACCUACCUAUAAGACUGGGAUAACUUCGGGAAACCGGCGCUAAUACCGGAUAAUAUAUUGAACCGCAUGGUUCAAUAGUGAAAGACGGUUUUGCUGUCACUUAUAGAUGGAUCCGCGCCGCAUUAGCUAGUUGGUAAGGUAACGGCUUACCAAGGCGACGAUGCGUAGCCGACCUGAGAGGGUGAUCGGCCACACUGGAACUGAGACACGGUCCAGACUCCUACGGGAGGCAGCAGUAGGGAAUCUGCCGCAAUGGGCGAAAGCCUGACGGAGCAACGACGCGUGAGUGAUGAAGGACUUCGGAUCGUAAAACUCUGUUAUUAGGGAAGAACAAAUGUGUAAGUAACUAUGCACGUCUUGACGGUACCGAAUCAGAAAGCCACGGCUAACUACGU
rnacentral:rRNA from 1 species